GUUUGGGUGGUGUAGUUGGUUAUCACGCUAGUCUCACACACUAGAGGUCCCCGGUUCAUACCCGGGCUUGGACA
rnacentral:tRNA from 1 species